rnacentral:rRNA from 1 species
GAGUUUGAACCUGGCUCAGGAUGAACGCUGGCGGCGUGCCUAAUACAUGCAAGUCGAGCGAACAGAUAAGGAGCUUGCUCCUUUGAAGUUAGCGGCGGACGGGUGAGUAACACGUGGGUAACCUACCUAUAAGACUGGGAUAACUUCGGGAAACCGGAGCUAAUACCGGAUAACAUUUAGAACCGCAUGGUUCUAAAGUGAAAGAUGGUUUUGCUAUCACUUAUAGAUGGACCCGCGCCGUAUUAGCUAGUUGGUAAGGUAACGGCUUACCAAGGCGACGAUACGUAGCCGACCUGAGAGGGUAAUCGGCCACACUGGAACUGAGACACGGUCCAGACUCCUACGGGAGGCAGCAGUAGGGAAUCUUCCGCAAUGGGCGAAAGCCUGACGGAGCAACGCCGCGUGAGUGAUGAAGGGUUUCGGCUCGUAAAACUCUGUUAUUAGGGAAGAACAAAUGUGUAAGUAACUGUGCACAUCUUGACGGUACCUAAUCAGAAAGCCACGGCUAACUACGUGCCAGCAGCCGCGGUAAUACGUAGGUGGCAAGCGUUAUCCGGAAUUAUUGGGCGUAAAGCGCGCGUGGGCGGUUUCUUAAGUCUGAUGUGAAAGCCCACGGCUCAACCGUGGAGGGUCAUUGGAAACUGGGAAACUUGAGUGCAGAAGAGGAAAGUGGAAUUCCAUGUGUAGCGGUGAAAUGCGCAGAGAUAUGGAGGAACACCAGUGGCGAAGGCGACUUUC